GUAAAUUUAGGUCUACAAAAAUUGUACAUUUCGUCCGUGGACUGGGACUAAUAAUGAUUUCUAAAUUAUUGCUUUUGGCCGUUGUUGCCUUUGUUGCAACAGAAGCAAGAGGACCAUGGUUUGGUCCAAGAUUUGGCCCAAAGUUUGGACACACAACAUUCAUUAAGAAAG